UACACACCGCCCGUCACAUCACGAAAGUGAGCUGUACUAGAAGUCGCUUAGCCAACCGUAAGGGGGCGGGCGCCCAAGGUAUGGCCCAUGAUUGGGGUG
rnacentral:rRNA from 1 species